UGGGCUGUGCUGGGCUGUGCUGGGCUGUGCUGGGCUGUGCUCUGUGCUGGGCUGUGCUGGGCUGUGCUGGGCUGUGCUGGGCUGUGCUGGGCUGUGCUGUUCAGGCAGCUGGGGCUGUGCUGCAGUCAGGCACAAGGGAACAAGCAGGGAGCAGGUGCUGGCACUGGGUUUUCAUUCCCGGGGAGCUCCGUGCGUGUCCCUGCAGCAGCGAUGCUCCCGGUGCCCGUGGUGGAGCCGUGCCUGGGGCUGCUGUGUGGUUGCACCUGCUGCACCUCUGCAGCCCAUGGCACUGUCCCUGCUGCACCUCUGCAACCUGUGGCUGCAAUCUGCUGCACCUCUGCAACCCAUAGCUGCGCCUUCCUGCACCUCUGCAGCUCGUGGUUGCACCUGCUGCACCUCUGCAGCCCAUGGUACUGUCCCUGCUGCACCUCUGCAACCCAUGGCUGCACCUGCUGCACCUCUGCAGCCUGUGGCACUGUCCCUGCUGCACCUCUGCAACCCAUGGCUGCACCUGCUGCACCCCUGCAGCCCGUGGCACUGUCCCUGCCGCUGGAACACCAGGACAACGCAGAGAGCCCUGCCCAGGGCCCCCAGGGCUGUGCAGACAAGCUCUCACCAUUAAUCCCAGAUAAUGUGUGGGGAGUUGCAGCAUCCUACCUUGGAUUUGCUUGGAAUUCCACUGCCAGAGAAGCCCAAAGAAGAGGUCAGGCUGGAAGAAAACCAAUUCUUAGAGACUUUCUGAAGCCUCUAAUGAGAAGGACAGUUUGUCAAGGGCUAUUUUUACUGGAGAGAAGCCCCUGCUGA
rnacentral:lncRNA from 1 species